GACGUAGGAGGCGAGCGUUGUCCGGAUUCAUUGGGCGUAAAGAGCACGCAGGCGGUUUGGCAAGUCGGAUGUGAAAACCCGAAGCUCAACUUCGGGCCUGCAUCCGAAACUGCCCGACUAGAGGUAGGUAGGGGAGAUCGGAAUUCCUGGUGUAGCGGUGAAAUGCGGCAGAUAAUCAGGAGGAACACCGGUGGCGAAGGGCGG
rnacentral:rRNA from 1 species